GAACAGGUGGUGCAUGGUUGUCGUCAGCUCGUGUCGUGAGAUGUUGGGUUAAGUCCCGCAACGAGCGCAACCCUCGUUCUAUGUUGCCAGCACGUAAUGGUGGGAACUCAUGGGAUACUGCCGGGGUCAACUCGGAGGAAGGUGGGGAUGACGUCAAAUCAUCAUGCCCCUUAUGUCUUGGGCUUCACGCAUGCUACAAUGGCCGGUACAAAGGGCUGCAAUACCGUGAGGUGGAGCGAAUCCCAAAAAGCCGGUCCCAGUUCGGAUUGAGGUCUGCAACUCGACCUCAUGAAGUCGGAGUCGCUAGUAAUCGCAGAAU
rnacentral:rRNA from 1 species